AUUGAACGCUGGCGGCAGGCCUAACACAUGCAAGUCGAGCGGUAGAGAGAAGCUUGCUUCUCUUGAGAGCGGCGGACGGGUGAGUAAUGCCUAGGAAUCUGCCUGGUAGUGGGGGAUAACGUUCGGAAACGGACGCUAAUACCGCAUACGUCCUACGGGAGAAAGCAGGGAACCUUCGGGCCUUGCGCUAUCAGAUGAGCCUAGGUCGGAUUAGCUAGUUGGUGAGGUAAUGGCUCACCAAGGCGACGAUCCGUAACUGGGCUGAGAGGAUGAUCAGUCACACUGGAACUGAGACACGGUCCAGACUCCUACGGGAGGCAGCAGUGGGGAAUAUUGGACAAUGGGCGAGAGACUGAUCCAGCCAUGCCGCGUGUGUGAAGAAGGUCUUCGGAUUGUAAAGCACUUUAAGUUGGGAGGAAGGGUUGUAGAUUAAUACUCUGCAAUUUUGACGUUACCGACAGAAUAAGCACCGGCUAACUCUGUGCCAGCCGCCGCAGUAA
rnacentral:rRNA from 1 species